CGACCCAGUAAAUGUUUUCAUUGUGGCCUGUCUGAAGAAGUUAACUUUGAUUCAAUAUAUAUAAUUCAAUAUAUAUCAAAACUGUUGAAACUAACAACACACAGGAGUGUCCUGCUGUAGAGAAAUCCACUGAAGAAACUAACAACUAACCACACACUUAAAACUGUUUUAUUAAAUAAACACUGCUGUUUCUUGUUUUUCUUGCUGUUUUAGUGGCUGUUUUUACAAACCCAACAGAAGACACCUUUAUCAAAUAAAUCAAUGUCAUACAACUUUUUACUAAAUAUCAGUCAAAGGUUUUGAUAUAGUUGUUUAUCAGUCCAUCUCUUGUAAAAAUGACUGUCUGUCUUUAGCUGUUACAGAUUCAGCUGUUGCUGCUGCUGUUGUUGCUGCUGUUGUUGCUGCUGUUCUGCUGAUUGCAGCUGCUGGUGUGAUUUACAGUCACCACAGGCGAUCUGUACAAGGAAAACAAAAUGGCAAGUACUGCAUACAGAUGAUCGGAAACAAAAAAAAAAAAUAAACUAGAUACGGAACAAAAAAAAAAUACAUAAAAGUAUGCAUUUUUAUUCUGAUUGACCAAAGUCAAUUUUUGUUAUUGUUCAAGCAGAAAAAAGGACACAGGACAAUGAUGAGGAGAAUGGUGGAGAAGGACGGCCUCUUAUUAGUGCUGAAAAAGAGAAAUUCACUGAAGGAAUUAACAACACACUGAAGGUUCCUGAUGGAGUGAAAUUCACUGAUGAAACUAAAAACACACAGAAAGGUCCUGAUGGAGUGAAACCCACUGAUGAAACUAACAACACACUACAUGACUCUGAUGGAGUGAACCCCACUGCUGAUGGAACUAACAACACACAGAAUGAUUCCGAUGGAGUGAAACCCACUGCUGAUGGAACUAACAACACACAGAAUGAUUCCGAUGGAGUGAAACCCACUGCUGAUGGAACUAACAACACACAGAAUGAUUCCGAUGAUGGAGUGAAACCCACUGAUGGAACUAACAACACACAGAAUGAUCCUGAUGGAGUGAAACCCACUGAUGGAACUAACAACACACAGAAUGAUUCCGAUGGAGUGAAACCCACUGAUGGAACUAACAACACACAGAAUGAUUCUGAUGGAGUGAAACCCACUGCUGAUGGAACUAACAACACACAGAAUGAUCCUGCUGAAGAGAAACCCACUGAUGAGGCUGAGACCCUGCAGAUGGAAGCAGCUGAAGGGGCAGAACUUAAUAAUGCUAAGACUAGUACUGCUAAAAGGGAACACAUUAAUUAGGCUGAGACCAAAAGGAUAAAAUAAAACACAUUUCAUGAAUCUUGGAGGUGUUCAGUUUGAGCAGAUGAUUUUAGCACCCCUGUCAUUGUAAGAGUUCAUUUCCUUAUUACAUUCAGCAUCUAGGCCAUAUUCGCUAUCUCAGCCAUAUUCUCAAAACUGUUGUUUUCAAUGUCUUCAAAGUCAAUAUUGUGAUUGUCAUCAUCUUAUUCACCACAUCAACCUUCAAAUGACAGUGACACUUAAAGUUGAUUGCACACAGUAAUGCUCUGUAGUAAAGCUAUUUAAGCAAUUUCAUGUUUUGAUGAUGAAUUUCUCAUUUUAUGUAAAUCAUCAUGUUAUCAUGUAUCAAACAUUUCCACCUUAAAGAAUAAAGGUGAAUUACAGUCACUUGAGUCAUCAGAUAUUUAAUUAUUGUUGCAGAGAAAAAAAUAUGCUUACACUAUUGCACUAUCCAUUAUACUUUUGUCUUUUUUAAACAAAAAGUUAAUUAGAAAACAGACAUUCUUUUACAGUUUUUUUUUUCUUGUUGUUUUGUUCACAAUUAAUAGAUUGAGGAGUACGAAGAAGGUGGAUGUACUAAAAUUAAAAAAAAAAUAAAAAUGAAUAAUUAAAAAAAAAAAUUAAAAAAAAUGAAUGAGUGGGAGGGUAGUGAAUGAUGUACCGGGUCCCUAAAGACCUGAGGUAAACAUUUAAAGGUUAAACACUAGCAUUUAAUGUGUAAGACCCCGUAACACACUAAUCUGCGUUAAUAAGAUUCUUAGCAAUGCCAUAAUGAUGUUAAUGAUUCUAGAUAAAAACAAAAUCACUGUUUUUGUAGUAAAUAAAGUAAGCUGCUGUUAUAUAUUAACAAAAAUAAAAAAAUAAAAAAUAAUUGCCCAUGUCAUUAGGAAGCAAAGCACUUACUCCACUUGUUUAAUUAAAUAAAGUAUGGGAUGUGCUCAAUGUUAAAGAGUUAUUAAGCGCAACAAGCCACAGAAAAGAUCUCAAUGAACAAUGACACAAACCUGAAGCGCAAGCACAGAAAGCCUCCUCUCUAUGACAGCAUGUGAUACCAAAUUCAGUCUUUUGUGGUAUUUUGUACUUGAAUGUUCAGAUAAAAUUCAAAAUACCCAUCUUGGUGAGUUUUAUAAUUGAACUGUUAAACUCUGAAUUGUAAUCAAAUCAUGAGGCAAGUGAGGAUUCAUACUAGUAUAUAUAUACCUUCAGCUUCAUCAUCAGAGCCACCUAUGAUGUGCUCCCAUCUCCAAAAAACCUCAACCAGUGGUAUGGCGAGGACCCUACUUGUGCCCUCUGCCCAACUCCAGCGACUCUUAAGCACAUCUUGGCCGGUUGUAAGACCUGCCUCACACAAGGUCGUUACACCUGGAGACACAACCAGGUCCUCAAGAGUCUGGCAGCAGCUCUUGAGAGCCAGAGGAAUACCACUAACUCCCUGCCCCUGAGAGCGAUCGAUUCCAUCACGGCCCCAACCUUCAUCCGAGAGGGGCAGAAAAAGCCCAAACAUCCCCCUACCAAAA
rnacentral:lncRNA from 1 species